AUUGAACGCUGGCGGCAUGCCUUACACAUGCAAGUCGAACGGCAGCACGGGGCAACCUGGUGGCGAGUGGCGAACGGGCGAGUAAUGCAUCGGAACGUACCUUUCAGUGGGGGAUAACGUAGCGAAAGUUACGCUAAUACCGCAUAUUCUGUGAGCAGGAAAGCAGGGGAUCGCAAGACCUUGCGCUGAUUGAGCGGCCGAUGUCAGAUUGGCUAGUUGGUGAGGUAAAGGCUCACCAAGGCGACGAUCUGUAGCGGGUCUGAGAGGAUGAUCCGCCACCCUGGAACUGAGACACGGUCCAGACUCCUACGGGAGGCAGCAGUGGGGAAGUUUGGACAAUGGGUGCAACCCUGAUCCAGCCAUGCCGCGUGAGUGAAGAAGGCCUUCGGGUUGUAAAGCUCUUUCGGCCGGGAAGAAAUCGCACGGGCUAAUACCCUGUGUGGAUGACGGUACCGGAAUAAGAAGCACCGGCUAACUACGUGCCAGCCGCCGCGGUAAGAC
rnacentral:rRNA from 1 species